rnacentral:rRNA from 1 species
AUUGAACGCUGGCGGCAGGCCUAACACAUGCAAGUCGAACGGUAGCACAGAGGAGCUUGCUCCUUGGGUGACGAGUGGCGGACGGGUGAGUAAUGUCUGGGAAACUGCCCGAUGGAGGGGGAUAACUACUGGAAACGGUAGCUAAUACCGCAUAACGUCGCAAGACCAAAGAGGGGGACCUUCGGGCCUCUUGCCAUCGGAUGUGCCCAGAUGGGAUUAGCUAGUAGGUGGGGUAACGGCUCACCUAGGCGACGAUCCCUAGCUGGUCUGAGAGGAUGACCAGCCACACUGGAACUGAGACACGGUCCAGACUCCUACGGGAGGCAGCAGUGGGGAAUAUUGCACAAUGGGCGCAAGCCUGAUGCAGCCAUGCCGCGUGUAUGAAGAAGGCCUUCGGGUUGUAAAGUACUUUCAGCGAGGAGGAAGGCAUUAAGGUUAAUAACCUUAGUGAUUGACGUUACUCGCAGAAGAAGCACCGGCUAACUCCGUGCCAGCAGCCGCGGUAAAAGGG